UUCUUCUUUAGUAAGAAGUAUGACCUGUUCAAUGCUUUUAGUAAAUUAAGGAUUUUUCACUAAGGUAGCAUAAUUAAUUGUCUUUUUAAUGGAGACUUGUCUGAAUGGUUUAACAAUGCUUUUCUUUGUUAAAAAAAUUUUUUGUGAAUUUUCAAUGUUGGUAAAAAAGCCUACAAACAAAAAAAAGACGAGAAGACCCCAUAUGAGUUUAAAGCUAUUAGAGAAUUUUAUUAGCUUUUAAAUGGGGCAUUUACUUUUUUUAUAAAAGUUUUUUACCCCCCAAUUCGGGGAAGAAAAAAUUACCUUGGGGAUAACAGGGUAAUAAAAAUUAAAGUUCAUAUAUAAAUUUUUGUUUUCUACCUCGAUGUUGAAUCAAGGGGGCUGUUUUAAUGAAGAAAUAUUUAAAGAAAGUCUGUUCGACUUUUAAACCCUUACG
rnacentral:rRNA from 1 species